rnacentral:rRNA from 1 species
GGGCUGCUCCUAGUACGAGAGGACCGGAGUGGACGCAUCACUGGUGUUCGGGUUGUCAUGCCAAUGGCACUGCCCGGUAGCUAAAUGCGGAAGAGAUAAGUGCUGAAAGCAUCUAAGCACGAAACUUGCCCCGAGAUGAGUUCUCCCUGAGACUUUAAGUCUCCUGAAGGAACGUUGAAGACGACGACGUUGAUAGGCCGGGUGUGUAAGCGCAGCGAUGCGUUGAGCUAACCGGUACUAAUGAACCGUGAGGCUUAACCUUACAACGCCGAAG